UACGGAGGAUGCAAGCGUUAUCCGGAAUGAUUGGGCGUAAAGCGUCCGCAGGUGGCUAUGUAAGUCUGCUGUCAAAGCGUCUGGCUCAACCAGAUAAAGGCAGUGGAAACUACAUAGCUAGAGUGCGUUCGGGGCAGAGGGAAUUCCUGGUGUAGCGGUGAAAUGCGUAGAGAUCAGGAAGAACACCGGUGGCGAAAGCGCUCUGCUAGGCCGCAACUGACACUGAGGGACGAAAGCUAGGGGAGCGAAUGGG
rnacentral:rRNA from 1 species